GACGAACGCUGGCGGCGUGCUUAACACAUGCAAGUCGAACGGAAAGGCCCUGCUUUCAGGGUACUCGAGUGGCGAACGGGUGAGUAAGACGUGGGUGAUCUGCCCUGCACUUCGGGAUAAGCUUGGUAAACUGGGUCUAAUACCUGAUAGGAAACAUCUUUAAUGUGGUGGUUGGAAAGUUUUGUGGGUGUAGGGUGAGUUCGCGGCGUAUCAGCUUGUUGGUGUGGUAAUGGCUUACCAAGGCGGCGACGGGUAGCCGGACUGAGUGGGUGUACGGCCACACUGGGACUGAGGGAAGGCACAGGCUGCUACGGGAGGGAGAAGUGGGGAAUAUUGCCGAAUGGGCGCAAGCCUGAUGCAGAGACGCCGCGUGGGGGAUGAAGGUCUUCGGGUUGAAAAACAAUUUCGCAAGGGACGAAGCUUGUUGUGACGGUACCUAGACAAGAAGCACCGGCUAACUACGUG
rnacentral:rRNA from 1 species